CCUACGGGAGGCAGCAGUGGGGAAUUUUGGACAAUGGGCGCAAGCCUGAUCCAGCAAUGCCGCGUGAGUGAAGAAGGCCUUCGGGUUGUAAAGCUCUUUUGUCAGGGAAGAAAAGGUGCGCUCUAACAUAGCGUACUGAUGACGGUACCUGAAGAAUAAGCACCGGCUAACUACGUGCCAGCAGCCGCGGUAAUACGUAGGGUGCAAGCGUUAAUCGGAAUUACUGGGCGUAAAGCGUGNGCAGGCGGUUUUAUAAGUCUGAUGUGAAAUCCCCGGGCUCAACCUGGGAACUGCAUUGGAGACUGUAAGGCUAGAGUGUGUCAGAGGGGGGUAGAAUUCCACGUGUAGCAGUGAAAUGCGUAGAUAUGUGGAGGAAUACCGAUGGCGAAGGCAGCCCCCUGGGAUAACACUGACGCUCAUGCACGAAAGCGUGGGGAGCAAACAGGAUUAGAUACCCUGGUAGUCCACGCCCUAAACGAUGUCUACUAGUUGUCGGGACUUAAUUGUCUUGGUAACGCAGCUAACGCGUGAAGUAGACCGCCUGGGGAGUACGGUCGCGAAGAUUAAAACUCAAAUGAAUUGACGG
rnacentral:rRNA from 1 species